UUUUUUUUUUUUUUUUUGUCUUUUUAGGGCCACACUCGUGGCACAUGGAGGUUCCGUGGCAUAUGGAGGUUCCCAGCUCUAAUUGGAGCCGUAGCCACCGGCCUACCCGCCAGCCACAGCAAUGCCAGAUCUGAGCCUCGUCUGCAACCUACACCACAGCUCAUGGCAACGCUGGAUCCUUAACCCACUGAACAAGGCCAGGGAUGGAACCCCAAACUUCGUGGCUCCUAGUCGGAUUCAUUUCCGCUGCGCCACGAUGGGAACGCCUCAUCCAUUUAUUUUCUAUUCUCUACCUACUGUCUAUCUAUCUCUCGUCUAUUAUCUAUUUAUCUAUUAGCUAUCACCUUCCUGUCAUUUUUCUACGUACUAUCUAUAUCUAUAUAUCUGUUCUAUCAUCUCUAUUUUCUACUAACCUCUUAUCUAUCUACCCAUCAUCUAGUUAUUAUCAUCUAUCUAUCCUCUCUCCAUUAUCUAUCUAUCUGUCUACCUAUUGAGAGAUAAAGGAAGGAAGAGUUAUUUUAACGACUUGGCUUAUAUGAUUUUUAGGGCUGUCAAGUCUAAAAUCCCUCAGGCAGGUGAGCAGACUGGAAAUUCAGACAGAGUCCAUGUUACAGUCAUCAGUCCAGGCAGUCUGGAAGCUCAGGCAGAACCUCUUCCUCUUGGGGGGACCUCAAGUCCUUUUUUCCUCAGAUACCCUUCAACUGAUUGGAUAAGGCCCACCCACACUCCAGAGAGUCCUGUUUCACACAAAUGCUACCGCUGUAAAAGUCCCUCGCAGACGUAAAAUACCUUCCCCGAGACAUCUAAAUGGUUUGACCAAGUCGAGCGCUGUGGCCUGGCCAAGGUGACAGGUGAAAUGAUCCAUCAUGGACUGCCUUGAAACAAAGCCACUUAGGUGGGCACAUGGCAGCGGCUGCCCUAGCUGCAGCCGGUGAUUUCAGAUCAGCCUUCUCCUUCAGGCCAACUGCAGACAGAUGAAAGCCAUUCAUUCUUGGACACGAGGAGGACAGAAAUCUGAAUGUGUCUCUUCCAUCGGCCCCUUCCCUUGUCCCCCAGGCCACAGAACUCGGUAGCGCAGCGGCUGUCAGCCACGGAAUUUGACCCAGUGUGUGAACAGCCUCAUGCUUCAUUCCAUCACCGCACUGCCUUUACCCAGCUCUGAAAAAUCUGUCCCCUCCCUAAAUCGUCACCUCCUCAUUUGGCCAAAAAGGAUCCUAUCAGCUCCCACCCACCCACAGGAGCAUGGAGAGGUUCCAGCCUUGUGUAUUUAGAACAACGUCUGGGAUGUGACAGAUGCACAGUAAUUAUGCUCUUGAUCUAAAAACAUAUCUUAGUUACAGAGACCAGAACCCCAUCUAGCUGGUUUGAGCAGAAAGGAAAUGUGACUGACAGUUUAUUCCUGACCAUUGUGGGAGAGAAACAGGGGGUGAUGCUUUCCGAGAAACCACGGUGAGAAGUGGGGCCAUUCACGAAAGGAGACAGACCUAGACACAGACCCUCUUAAAGGGUCGGAGGACGAAGCUAGAUGCUUCGGAGGCAAGAACGAUAGGACCAGGGUCCAUGGCAUGAAAGGAAACCAGCCAGACCUCAUGGGGACCUUAGCAUGGAAAGGACACAGCUGUCACACCUCGCUCUGCCGUCUCCGUGACACCAGGGCUGGACAGUGGAUGCUGCCCCAGCCUCUCCAGAAAAGCCCACCUCAUUCUGUCAGCUGGAAGGUGUGUCCCUGGACCGCGAAGCUCAGCUCCAGGACACCUGCAACACUGGUGGACGGACCUGAAGGAGUCUGGCUCGGCGGACAGUCCCAGCCGCCACGCGUCCUGGGACACGGGUGUGUACCUCUCACUCCUCUUGUCCAGGGAGGCGAGUUCGGAGGGAUUUCCGGCUUGCAGAUGGCAGGUUGGUGAGGCUUCCUGGCCUCUACAGUCAUGGGAGCCAGUUACUCAUAACAGGUGUCUCCCUCUCUCUCCGCCUCUCCCUUUCUCUCUCUCAGUGGAUACACAGAAAGAUAUGACAGGUAGAUAGAGAGACAAAAAGAAAGAUAUGAUCAUAGAAUGAUAUAAAGAUAGUAGAAAGAUAUCAAUUGAUAGAUAGUUAAGAUAGAUUGGCAGAGAGAGAAAGGUGAACAGAUAAAUGGAUAGAAAGACAGGUAGAUACACAGAUGGAAAGAUACAUAGAUACAAAGUAGAAAGAACUAUAUAGAGAAGAUACAUAGAAAGAUACAGAAAUAGAGAUAGAAAGGCAAACAGGUAAGUGGAUAGAAAAAGAGAUAUAGGGAGUUCCCGUCGUGGCGCAGUGGUUAAGAACCCGACUGGUAUCCAUGAGGAUGCGGGUUUGAUCCCUGGCCUCACUCAGGGGGUGAAGGGUCCGGCGUUGCCACAAGCUAUGGUGUGGGUUGCAGAUGCGGCUCAGAUCCCAUGUUGUUGUGGCUGUGGUGUAGACCUACAGCUGCAGCUCCAAUUCUAUGCCUGGCCCGGAAACUUCCCUAAGUUGCAGGUACAGUCGUAAAAAGAAAAGAAGAAACAUAUUGCCUCACUAAUAAUUUGCUGUGUAACUGUGAAGGAUGAUUGCUAUGAUACAAUCUUGCUUGGAUUUUUCCUUGUCAAAUGUAACAACAGUUUCAUUUUUUUUCCUUUCUGAUUUCGGAGUCUCCUUGUGUGGUUCCUUCCUCUACACAUGAACUUAAAAAAAAAAAAAAAAAGAGCUGUCCUGUAGGACUGCACAGACCUCACUGAUGCUUUGCUCGUGAGGGCUUUCCACCUCUGGGGACACAGCGUCUGCAGGGCCCAGGCCACCACAACAGACCCCAGGGGCCGCCAGGACUGGGUGUGGUGCUAAAGAGGUCCCACUCUUCCAAACAGUCGGGCUCCGCAGAGCUUCCCCGCGGCUGCCUCACCUCCCUUUGGAAAACACGACCCAUGACUUCCCCUCCUGCCGGCAGCCAGCGCCUGCCUCUCCCUGCCAAGGCCCC
ensembl:lncRNA